rnacentral:rRNA from 1 species
CGAAUGCUGACAUAAGUAACGAUAAAGCGGGUGAAAAGCCCGCUCGCCGGAAGACCAAGGGUUCCUGUCCAACGUUAAUCGGGGCAGGGUGAGUCGACCCCUAAGGCGAGGCCGAAAGGCGUAGUCGAUGGGAAACAGGUUAAUAUUCCUGUACUUGGUGUUACUGCGAAGGGGGGACGGAGAAGGCUAUGUUGGCCGGGCGACGGUUGUCCCGGUUUAAGCGUGUAGGCUGGUUUUCCAGGCAAAUCCGGAAAAUCAAGGCUGAGGCGUGAUGACGAGGCACUACGGUGCUGAAGCAACAAAUGCCCUGCUUCCAGGAAAAGCCUCUAAGCAUCAGGUAACAUCAAAUCGUACCCCAAACCGACACAGGUGGUCAGGUAGAGAAUACCAAGGCGCUUGAGAGAACUCGGGUGAAGGAACUAGGCAAAAUGGUGCCGUAACUUCGGGAGAAGGCACGCUGAUAUGUAGGUGAAGUCCCUCGCGGAUGGAGCUGAAAUCAGUCGAAGAUACCAGCUGGCUGCAACUGUUUAUUAAAAACACAGCACUGUGCAAACACGAAAGUGGACGUAUACGGUGUGACGCCUGCCCGGUGCCGGAAGGUUAAUUGAUGGGGUUAGCGCAAGCGAAGCUCUUGAUCGAAGCCCCGGUAAACGGCGGCCGUAACUAUAACGGUCCUAAGGUAGCGAAAUUCCUUGUCGGGUAAGUUCCGACCUGCACGAAUGGCGUAAUGAUGGCCAGGCUGUCUCCACCCGAGACUCAGUGAAAUUGAACUCGCUGUGAAGAUGCAGUGUACCCGCGGCAAGACGGAAAGACCCCGUGAACCUUUACUAUAGCUUGACACUGAACAUUGAGCCUUGAUGUGUAGGAUAGGUGGGAGGCUUUGAAGUGUGGACGCCAGUCUGCAUGGAGCCGACCUUGAAAUACCACCCUUUAAUGUUUGAUGUUCUAACGUUGACCCGUAAUCCGGGUUGCGGACAGUGUCUGGUGGGUAGUUUGACUGGGGCGGUCUCCUCCUAAAGAGUAACGGAGGAGCACGAAGGUUGGCUAAUCCUGGUCGGACAUCAGGAGGUUAGUGCAAUGGCAUAAGCCAGCUUGACUGCGAGCGUGACGGCGCGAGCAGGUGCGAAAGCAGGUCAUAGUGAUCCGGUGGUUCUGAAUGGAAGGGCCAUCGCUCAACGGAUAAAAGGUACUCCGGGGAUAACAGGCUGAUACCGCCCAAGAGUUCAUAUCGACGGCGGUGUUUGGCACCUCGAUGUCGGCUCAUCACAUCCUGGGGCUGAAGUAGGUCCCAAGGGUAUGGCUGUUCGCCAUUUAAAGUGGUACGCGAGCUGGGUUUAGAACGUCGUGAGACAGUUCGGUCCCUAUCUGCCGUGGGCGCUGGAGAAUUGAGGGGGGCUGCUCCUAGUACGAGAGGACCGGAGUGGACGCAUCACUGGUGUUCGGGUUGUCAUGCCAAUGGCACUGCCCGGUAGCUAAAUGCGGAAGAGAUAAGUGCUGAAAGCAUCUAAGCACGAAACUUGCCCCGAGAUGAGUUCUCCCUGACUCCUUGAGAGUCCUGAAGGAACGUUGAAGACGACGACGUUGAUAGGCCGGGUGUGUAAGCGCAGCGAUGCGUUGAGCUAACCGGUACUAAUGAACCGUGAGG